rnacentral:rRNA from 1 species
AUUGAACGCUGGCGGCAUGCCUUACACAUGCAAGUCGAACGGUAACGCGGGGCAACCUGGCGACGAGUGGCGAACGGGUGAGUAAAGCAUCGGAACGUGCCCAGUAGUGGGGGAUAGCCCGGCGACAGCCGGCUUAAUACCGCAUACGACCUAUGGGUGAAAGGGGGGGAUCGCAAGACCUCUCGCUAUUGGACCGGCCGAUGUCAGAUUAGGUAGUUGGUGGGGUAAAGGCCUACCAAGCCGACGAUCUGUAGCUGGUCUGAGAGGACGACCAGCCACACUGGGACUGAGACACGGCCCAGACUCCUACGGGAGGCAGCAGUGGGGAAUUUUGGACAAUGGGCGCAAGCCUGAUCCAGCCAUGCCGCGUGCGGGAAGAAGGCCUUCGGGUUGUAAACCGCUUUUGUCAGGGAAGAAAUCCUUUGGGUUAAUACCUCGGGGGGAUGACGGUACCUGAAGAAUAAGCACCGGCUAACUACGUGCCAGCCGCCGCCGUAA